GGUAAGCUAUUAGGAGUUACAUUUGGGGCACUUGAGCAUUAUUUGUGGAUUUUCGACUGUGCCGGGGGUCGGCGCCCCUCACCCCUGCAUUGUACACAUGUCUACGAAGACUUUUAGGGAAGACUCUGGAGCAACUGCUAACGCCAGCUGCCUCCUCGGGGCGGAGCUGAGGAACUAGAAGUGAGGUGUGGGAGGGAGGCUUUCACCGUAGGUCCUUUGCUUUUGAAGUUCGAACUGUUAACCUGUGUGGAAGUUUUGCCUAUCUGAAAAGAAGUGCUUAUAAAUAGGUAAGUAUUCGAAGUGGGUAGAAUUUUUAUGGAUGUGGACAUUGGCGGGUAAGGGUGACCCAGAGGGAGGGAAGAGCUAGAGCAAAGGUGUGCAGGAGAGAAAGCUGGCAGCAGAGUCCCGCGUGCCUGGUGGCAGUGAGAGCACCUCGCACACCCUGGCUCAGGUCUCAUCAGGCCUCAGUGCUGCACUCCCACCGGCAGGGCACCUCACUCUCAAGGUCCAGGUACGAGCGCUCUCUGGACCGGCCUGUGCACCCAGCCCACAGGGAGGUCCUUUCUGCUGCCAGCCAGUGCUGGGGUACUUUACUCCCUGUCAUUUAAACCUUGCUCCAAUCCCGAGCAGGAGAUCUUAGGGAUGACCUCUACUGGACAGGGAAGGGGAAUGAAGCUCAGAGAGGUUAAGUAACUUACUCAAGGUCACAGAGCCAUUAAGUAGCCUAGCUGGACCUACAGCUGUGUAUUCUUUCCAGAAUUCUACAAGAUCAGGGUGGGGAGAGGGAGGCUGGAAAGAGUUAAGCACCCAAGAGUAAGCGACCAGGCUCUUCCCUGGCCUUUUCCUGGCCAGCCCCUCCCCCUUCCAUCCAGGUUGUUGUCUGGCCUAGGCCCCAUCCACGACCCCCACCGGCCCCGGCCGAGGGCAGGAAGGGGGCACAGAUGGCAGGCGAGCACAGGCCCGCAGCCAGGCUCACCCAGCUGUCACUUUGGAGAGCACCAUGCAUCUCAUCGUCCUCCUCCCCCCUUGAACACUUGGGAGCUGGCCAGCUGGCCCCAGCUGUUCCUUCUCCCUGGUCCAGGGCUCCCACAGACCCAAGCCUCUGGGGUCUUUGUCUCCAGGGAGGAGAAACACAGAGUCCCAGAAUGUCAGAGCUGGCAGGGCCUCGGAGGACAACAGGCCCAACAGCUCAUUUUCCAGAUGGGGAAACUGAGGCCCAGAAAGGCAAAGGGACUUGCCUAAGGUUACAAACAACGGGGCACCGAAGUCAGGUGAAGCUUAGCAUUGAAAUGAAGCUUAGGUUUCUGGGGGCACCCCGCAGGGGUGGGGGUGCUCAGGCUGGCUGCUGUGCCCCCUCCCCACCAACCUUCAGCCAGAGCAGCUCUGCUCGCCUGAUUUUAUACAAUGACAUUGUCCUCUGACUUUCUUUCCAGGGUCUUUAACCUGAGUGGGUCCACAGGCCCCUUCAGGAGGUGCGUGAGUUUGGGUAGGAAAAAAAAUUGAGUCUAUAUUUUCACUAGCCUCUAACUGAAAUUUCACAUUUUCUUUGUAAACGUAGGCAACGAACCCCAACAGGCUUAGCUGAACCUACGAUGUUUUCACCAAUAGACAUCACAGAUAUUUGCAGAUCACAUCUGCUACUGCUGUCUCAAAACGUUAUCUGGGCUCAUCGUUCUGUGGAAUCAGAGUAGUUAUGGGCCUGAUACUUGAUCAUACUGCUUAAUGUAUUAAUAUAAAAGCACUACACUGCUAUGUCACAAUUCUACUACACAUUUGGAUAAUUGUAUUUCAGUAUAGUUGUGUCCUUUUGUAAGCCUAUAUAUUUUAUUUUAUGUAUUUAAAAUUUUUAUUCUCCCAUCCAAGUACUAACCAAGCCCAACCCUGCUUAGCUUCCGAGAUCAGACAAGAUUGGGCGCGUUCAGGGUGGUGUGACCAUAGACCAAAAAUUUUAUUCUGUGAGGGGGACCGUGGGGCUUUUCUAGACUGCCAAAGAGGUCUGACUGCCUGGCUCCCCAAAAAGUUAAGAACAUGCUGCAUUUGAACAAAAGUUUCCAGUGUUAAAAACUCAAGCUUGAAAACGUUUGUACUGUGUCCGUGACAUCACAGACUUGGGGCAGAAUUGCCAUGAGAUGAACGCACGAGUCCGGGUGGGGCUGGUGCUCUAGGAGGGGAGGGGUGCACCAGGACCCGGGAGGUCAGGCUCACCCCAGCAGACGUGCAGUAGGAGGCUGGCUCUGUGCCAGGCGCAUGGCCCCUCACCGAACCCUCGGAACAGCCAUGGAGUCAGGACUAGCGUUCCUCCUAUUUUGCAGGUGAGAAAACUGAGGCGCAGACCAGUUAGGUAACUUGCCCACAGCACAUGGACAGUAAAUCCUGGAGCGGGGAUUUGAACCCAGGCCAGCUGAUGCAGACCCUGCACAACUAAUCACCGGACACACUGCCUCCCUGUCUGGGUAGAUGGAAGCUGCUCACAGAAAGUCCCUCAGGUGUCGCUGCUGCCCGGUGCUUCUCUUGGUGGGGGUAGCGGGUGGGGGAAUGGAAUCCCGGAGGGUUUGCUGCCUGGAUCAGUCAUCUGACACAUGAGACACUAACAAGCUGUGCAACCUUGACCAAGUCUCUUGCCCUCUCUGGGCCUCAUCUAUAAACUGCAGUGUUCUAAGCACCCAGCCCCACACCUUCCACCCUGCCCAUGUUCACCUGACGACCCACUUGGAAACUCAGGCGCAGGUUGCUUAGCAACUAAAAUCAAGGUCUUGGGUGAGUGGAAUGGAAAGGGGAAGGACAGACGAGAAGUGCGGUGCCUGACGCUGAUGCCACAGAGCCGUGUCUUGUGGGAGCUCACGUCAUGUGUUACUCUGGGAGGAAGCAGCAACGUAGGUAACAGAGGGCUCAUGCUCGCGGUCGAUAAGGACAUCCUCUGACCAGGAGGGCAGCAGAAAUGCUGCACACAUCGUGUACUCAUGUCACAUGAAAACUCCUUGAAGUGAGAAAACAAGAGCAAUCAACUGGUCAUGUGAGUCAUCACUAGCAGUCCGUGAUUAGUCAGGUUAAACAAAAGGUAUGCAGAGUGUGAACAAAUACCGUUGGAGAAAGUGCAUAUCAAAUACAAGCACACGCAUACCACACGCACCUGUAUAGAGAGAGACUCAUACUCGGCAAAGAGUACUUUUUUUCCCGGCCGUCCAGGAAGUGUUUACAAAAUCGGAUCAUAAUCUAGACCAGUGUGACCGACAGUAACUCUCUGUUGCUGUUACAGAAAUUGAGAGGAAGAGUUUAGGAACUUUUAAGCAAUUUGACAGAGAAAUUUUAUUUCUGUUGAAAAUAAUAAAAAUUGAGGUUUGUACAAAAAGUCAAGAGCUACAAAAUGCUGCAAACAUUUUUUGGUAUACACUUGAGCAUGCUUCUGUAGGAUGGAGGCCUAAAGUGGAACUGCCGGGC